rnacentral:tmRNA from 1 species
GGGGGUGAACAUGGCUUCGAAGAAGAGCAACGAAAUGUGCGUUCAGGCGGAGCAGGUGCCGUUCGGCUCCUAAAUCCUCGGCACAACCAAAAUAAGUGCAAACUUAUCACAAAAGGUUCGAGUAGCGUGGAACUCAUUCGUGGGCAACCGCUCGCUCGAACUUUCCUACGCAUUAGCUUAGGCAUCCACGCUUCGUGAUUCUCGCUAAGAAGACGCGGGUGUUAUGCAGCGAGAGCGAUAACAGACAACGAUAAUCCGGCUGUUAUUGUCUAUAAAGGGUUUCAAACUUUUUAAGCUUGUCAACCGCCAUUUCUGCGCUUUUCUGACGUGGGUUCGAUCCCCACCACUUCCAAUU